rnacentral:misc_RNA from 1 species
ACACCUCAACCCUCAUGGUUUGCUGUGAUGGGCUUGGACUCUGGAGGUUUUGCUGGCCAUGUGGUUGGCUCCUCUCAAAUGAAUCAGCUUACCGGUGUUUGGUGGCAUCACGGGUGUGAUAACUGUCUACGCUCAUGAUUGCACUGCCAGGUGGCCUUCAGUUAUGAAGGUUUGCCGGAGCUUAUAAAUGUCUCUCCUUGGAAGGGACGGAUCUUUGAACGU